rnacentral:rRNA from 1 species
UUACCUACGGGGCGCAGCAGUGAGGAAUAUUGGUCAAUGGGCGCGAGCCUGAACCAGCCAAGUCGCGUGAGGGAAGACGGUCCUAUGGAUUGUAAACCUCUUUUGUCGGGGAGCAAAAGACGCCACGCGUGGCGUUCCGAGGGUACCCGAAGAAAAAGCAUCGGCUAACUCCGUGCCAGCAGCCGCGGUAAUACGGAGGAUGCGAGCGUUAUCCGGAUUUAUUGGGUUUAAAGGGUGCGCAGGCGGAAGAUCAAGUCAGCGGUAAAAUUGAGGGGCUCAACCCCUUCCCGCCAUUGAACCUGGCG